UACGUAGGGGGCAAGCGUUGUUCGGAUUCAUUGGGCGUAAAGGGUGCGUAGGCGGCGGGGUAAGUCAGACGUGAAAUCCCUCGGCUUAACCGGGGAACUGCGUCUGAUACUGGAUGGCUUGAGUUUGGGAGAGGGAUGCGGAAUUCCAGGUGUAGCGGUGAAAUGCGUAGAUAUCUGGAGGAACACCGGUGGCGAAGGCGGCAUCCUGGACCAACACUGACGCUGAGGAGCGAAAGCCAGGGGAGCAAACGGG
rnacentral:rRNA from 1 species